GGCAUGAUUUUCUCCAGGAAACUCCAGAUAUUUUUACAUACGGCUUAUACAUUUGUCUGCAUUGUGAACAUCUUUUUUACUAAAUUAUACUGGAAUGAUCUUGUUCUCAUUUUGUUUUUUUCCCACUGUACUAAAAUCUUUUGAAUCUAAAUUAAAAGGUUGCCAAGAGCUAAAGUGUUAGGAGUCACCAAGGAAACAGGACUUGGAUUGUUUCAGGAUAGUAGGAUUUGAAUGGGAGAAAAAAGAAGGAUCAAGGAAGUUAAAGAAGAUGUAAGGAAAUGGGUCCUAAGAUUGCUAGACCAAGGAGAAAGAAGAUAACAUUGAAUUAG
rnacentral:lncRNA from 1 species